GGGACAUAUCCGACAAAGAAAGCAAAUCCAUGAAAGAGUUUCAUAAGGCCACCAUCAUCAUCCUUGCAAACUCAUCAAAGCUCACAACUCCAUCACCAUCUAAGUCGGCUUCUCUGAUCAUCUGUUCUGCUUCUUCCAUUGGUUUGCAUCAUCUAAUGUCUGGAUCACUGAUGCCAGCUCUUCCAUGCUAAUGAAGCCUGCAAUAAUUUUACAUCAAUAUGUGUUUCCAAGAAUGGAAAAGUAUCCCAACAUCUUGGAUUCGAGUUUUGCGGAAGGUGAAAACAGUCGACCUAGUUCGACUGCAACGUGACUAGAUAUCGAUGGGUUUCAUACCCAAAAAAGGAAUGAUGGCAUACCAUCUGAAUCUUUAUCGAUCAAGCAAAACACUUCUCGAACAACUUGAUCAUCUGUCAAUGUAUGUGCCAUGCUGAACUAAUGAAAACUCUAUGCUUGUGUCGAUGAAUGAAGAAAAGGGAAUGUGAUACUGGCCUUCUAUGUAA